rnacentral:rRNA from 1 species
CCUACGGGAGGCAGCAGUGGGGAAUAUUGGGCAAUGGGCGCAAGCCUGACCCAGCAACGCCGCGGGAAGGAAGAAGGCUUUCGGGUUGUAAACUUCUUUGGUCAGGGAGGGGUAGAAGACGUUACCUGACGAAUAAGCAACGGCUAACUACGUGCCAGCAGCGGCGGUAAUACGUAGGUGGAAAGCGUUGUCCGGAUUUACUGGGUGUAAAGGGCGUGUAGCCGGGUUGAAAAGUCAGAUGUGAAAUCCUGCGGCUUAACCGCAGAACUGCAUUUGAAACUGUUGAUCUUGAGUACUGGAGAGGCAGAUGGAAUUCCUAGUGUAGCGGUGAAAUGCGUAGAUAUUAGGAGGAACACCAGUGGCGAAGGCGGUCUGCUGGACAGCAACUGACGGUGAGGCGCGAAAGCGUGGGGAGCAAACAGGAUUAGAUACCCCAGUAGUC